UUUUCCCUUCAUAGUACUGUUACUGCUGCUGCUGCUUAUUGCGGCUACUGAUAUUGUCAGUUGUGUUAAUACUGACAGUGGCAAGCACCCGCCAUGUGCUGGACUCUCUGCUGACCUGUAUGCGUUACCUUUGGUAAACCCCACAACGAUCCUAUGAGGGAGGUGCUGUUGUAUUUCCCCAUUUGGCAUGUAAGCAAAGAGUCUCAGAGAUUUGAUGGAGGAGUAGGGGGUAGAUUCUGGGUUUGUCUACCUCUAAAACCCAAGCUCUUACCCCCUGUAUUGUAUUUGGAGUUUGUGGAAUUGACUAACCUCUGGCUCCCCCACCAGACUGGGAGGUCUGCACAGGUAGGAAGCACGUCUGAUUGCUUCACCACUAUGUCCCCAGGGCAAUGAUUUUUUUAUAAAAAAUAAUGCGAGGUAUCGUACAUGAGUUUGUUUAGGCUUUAUUGCUCUGAAGCCAAUGGAGGAAAAGAAAAGGAAAAUAUGGACCUGCCCUGAGAUGACUUUAUGGGGAUUGGGGUGCAUCUGUCUACGGGGGGGCAGCCCAGUUGCUUGUUGGCAAUUGGGAAUACAAGCUCACUGGCACCGGAUCUUUCAGGGUGAGGUUGGACCUUUAAAAAAACCACGUUGAUUGUGUUGACUGGCUGUUGUUUCUUGGCAAACUAUCUUUCCUUAUAACUAUUUUUUUCUUUUGGAGCAUUCCUUUUUUUUUCUUUUUCUUUUUCACGUCAUCUUUUAACAUAGUAAAUAAAAUGUGCACGUCUA